CCUUCCGUUAGGGUUACCUGCGGAAGGAUCAUUACCGAGUGCGGGCCCUCUGGGUCCAACCUCCCAUCCGUGUCUAUCUGUACCCUGUUGCUUCGGCGUGGCCACGGCCCGCCGGAGACUAACAUUUGAACGCUGUCUGAAGUUUGCAGUCUGAGUUUUUAGUUAAACAAUCGUUAAAACUUUCAACAACGGAUCUCUUGGUUCCGGCAUCGAUGAAGAACGCAGCGAAAUGCGAUAAUUAAUGUGAAUUGCAGAAUUCAGUGAAUCAUCGAGUCUUUGAACGCACAUUGCGCCCCCUGGUAUUCCGGGGGGCAUGCCUGUCCGAGCGUCAUUGCUGCCCUCAAGCACGGCUUGUGUGUUGGGCUUCCGUCCCUGGCAACGGGGACGGGCCCAAAAGGCAGUGGCGGCACCAUGUCUGGUCCUCGAGCGUAUGGGGCUUUGUCACCCGCUCCCGUAGGUCCAGCUGGCAGCUAGCCUCGCAACCAAUCUUUUAACCAGGUGACCUCGGAUCAGGAGGUCCAA
rnacentral:rRNA from 1 species